rnacentral:rRNA from 1 species
UGAAUACGAGACGCUACGGCGUCGAAGCAGUCUAUGUCAUACUUCCAAGAAAAGCUUGCACUGUCAUAACAAAUAAUGCCUGUACCAUAACCGACACAGGUGGGUAGGUAGAGUAUACUAAGGGGCGCGAGAUAACUCUCUCUAAGGAACUCGGCAAAAUGACUCCGUAACUUCGGGAGAAGGAGUGCCUUAUUUAUAAGGUUGCAAUAACAAGAUCCAAGCAACUGUUUAUCAAAAACACAGGUCUCCGCUAAGUCGUAAGACGAUGUAUGGGGGCUGACGCCUGCCCAGUGCCAGAAGGUUAAAGAAGUUGGUUAGCAUUAGCGAAGCUGAUAACUGAAGCCCUGGUGAACGGCGGCCGUAACUAUAACGGUCCUAAGGUAGCGAAAUUCCUUGUCGGGUAAGUUCCGACCCGCACGAAAGGCGUAAUGAUUUGAUAUACUGUCUCGGAGAGGGGCUCGGUGAAAUAGACUUGUCUGUGAAGAUGCGGACUACCUGCACCUGGACAGAAAGACCCUAUGAAGCUUUACUGUAACCUGAAAUUGAAAUUGGACUUUAUUUGCGCAGUAUAGGUGGGAGGCGUUGAGAAUAUUCUUGCGGGAAUAUUGGAGCCAUCAGUGAGAUACCACUCUCGUAAUGUUAGAUUUCUAACUUUGAAUCAUUAUCUGGUCAAAGAACAGUUUCAGGCGGGCAGUUUGACUGGGGCGGUCGCCUCCUAAAUGGUAACGGAGGCGCACAAAGGUUUCCUCUGAACGGGUAGAAAUCGUAUCUAGAGUGUAAAGGCAUAAGGAAGCUUGACUGUGAGACCUACAAGUUGAGCAGGGACGAAAGUCGGUCUUAGUGAUCUGACGGUGCUGAGUGGAAAGGCCGUCACUCAACGGAUAAAAGUUACUCUAGGAUAACAGGCUGAUCUCCCCCAAGAGUUCACAUUGACGGGGAGGUUUGGCACCUCGAUGUCGGCUCAUCGCAUCCUGGGGCGGUAGUACGUCCCAAGGGUUGGGCUGUUCGCCCAUGAAAGCGGUACGCGAGCUGGGUUCAGAACGUCGUGAGACAGUUCGGUCCAUAUCCGGUGUAGGCGUUAGAAUAUUGAGAGGAGCCUUCUUUAGUACGAGAGGACCGAGAAGGACAUACCUCUGGUGUACCAGUUAUCGUGCCAACGGUAAACGCUGGGUAGCUAUGUAUGGAGAGGAUAACCGCUGAAAGCAUCUAAGUGGGAAGCCCACCUCAAGAUAAGUAUUCUCU